AUUGAACGCUGGCGGCAUGCUUUACACAUGCAAGUCGAACGGUAACAGGCCUUCGGGCGCUGACGAGUGGCGAACGGGUGAGUAAUGCAUCGGAACGUGCCCAGUCGUGGGGGAUAACUAUCCGAAAGGAUAGCUAAUACCGCAUACGAUCUGCGGAUGAAAGCGGGGGACCUUCGGGCCUCGCGCGAUUGGAGCGGCCGAUGUCAGAUUAGGGAGUUGGUGGGGUAAAGGCUCACCAAGCCAACGAUCUGUAGCUGGUAUGAGAGGACGACCAGCCACACUGGGACUGAGACACGGCCCAGACUCCUACGGGAGGCAGCAGUGGGGAAUUUUGGACAAUGGGCGCAAGCCUGAUCCAGCAAUGCCGCGUGCAGGAAGAAGGCCUUCGGGUUGUAAACUGCUUUUGUACGGAACGAAACGGCUCUGGUUAAUACCUGGGGCUAAUGACGGUACCGUAAGAAUAAGCACCGGCUAACUACGUGCCAGCAGCCGCGGUAAUAC
rnacentral:rRNA from 1 species